AUUGAACGCUGGCGGCAUGCUUUACACAUGCAAGUCGAACGGUAACAGGGUGCUUGCACCGCCGACGAGUGGCGAACGGGUGAGUAAUGCGUCGGAACGUGCCGAGUAAUGGGGGAUAACGCAGCGAAAGUUGUGCCAAUACCGCAUACGCUCUGAGGAGGAAAGCAGGGGAUCGUAAGACCUUGCGUUAUUCGAGCGGCCGACGUCUGAUUAGCUAGUAGGUGAGGUAAAGGCUCACCUAGGCGACGAUCAGUAGCGGGUCUGAGAGGAUGAUCCGCCACACUGGGACUGAGACACGGCCCAGACUCCUACGGGAGGCAGCAGUGGGGAAUUUUGGACAAUGGGCGAAAGCCUGAUCCAGCCAUGCCGCGUGUCUGAAGAAGGCCUUCGGGUUGUAAAGGACUUUUGUCAGGGAGGAAAUCCCUAGCGCUAAUAUCGCUGGGGGAUGACAGUACCUGAAGAAUAAGCACCGGCUAACUACGUGCCAGCCGCCGCGGUAA
rnacentral:rRNA from 1 species